rnacentral:piRNA from 1 species
GUGGAACAUGGAUAUUAAAAACAG